rnacentral:tRNA from 1 species
GUCCCCGUAGCUCAACUGGAUAGAGCAAGUGGUUUCUACCCACUAGGUUGGGGGUUCAAAUCCUCCCGGGGACG